rnacentral:rRNA from 1 species
UAAAACCAGCUCUCCGAGUGGUGGGGACGAUUAUUGGGCCUAAAGCGUCCGUAGCCGGCCCGGCAAGUCUUCCGUUAAAUCCAGCGACCUAAUCGUUGGACUGCGGGAGAUACUGUUGGGCUAGGGGGCGAGAGAAGCCGACGGUAUCCUCGGGGUAGGGGUGAAAUCCUAUAAUCCCGGGAAGACCACCAGUGGCGAAGGCGGUCGGCUAGAACGCGCCCGACGGUGAGGGACGAAAGCUGGGGGAGCGAACCGGAUUAGACACCCGGGUAGUCCCAGCUGUAAACGAUGCGGGCUAGGUGUUGGGGCGGCUACGAGCCGCUUCAGUGCCGCACGGAAGCAAUUAAGCCCGCCGCCUGGGGAGUACGGCCGCAAGGCUG